rnacentral:rRNA from 1 species
UGGGUGAUGGCGUGCCUUUUGUAGAAUGAACCGGCGAGUUACGAUUUGAUGCAAGGUUAAGCAGUAAAUGUGGAGCCGUAGCGAAAGCGAGUCUGAAUAGGGCGUUUAGUAUUUGGUCGUAGACCCGAAACCAGGUGAUCUACCCUUGGUCAGGUUGAAGUUCAGGUAACACUGAAUGGAGGACCGAACCGACUUACGUUGAAAAGUGAGCGGAUGAACUGAGGGUAGCGGAGAAAUUCCAAUCGAACCUGGAGAUAGCUGGUUCUCUCCGAAAUAGCUUUAGGGCUAGCCUCAAGUGAUGAUUAUUGGAGGUAGAGCACUGUUUGGACGAGGGGCCCCUCUCGGGUUACCGAAUUCAGACAAACUCCGAAUGCCAAUUAAUUUAACUUGGGAGUCAGAACAUGGGUGAUAAGGUCCGUGUUCGAAAGGGAAACAGCCCAGACCACCAGCUAAGGUCCCAAAAUAUAUGUUAAGUGGAAAAGGAUGUGGCGUUGCCCAGACAACUAGGAUGUUGGCUUAGAAGCAGCCAUCAUUUAAAGAGUGCGUAAUAGCUCACUAGUCGAGUGACACUGCGCCGA